GCUGUGACAAGGGACUGUGUGAUCUUUAUUCUCUGUCACGCUGUGACAAGAGACUGGGUCUUUAGCCCCCACUCCUCCAGUUGUCAAAGAGAAAGUGAAAAGGUCAUGGUCUAGUCCAGUCUGUCUACAUUCAGGUACUGAGGUAGCUGAGCACCAUGGACAACAUCUGGGAUACCGUUGAAAUGGUCCUUUUUAUUUGCUCCUCCAGUGCAUUUAAUCAGCUAAUAGUAGAAUUCAAGUUGAAAUUCAAAGGACAACAAUAGUAUGAUUCUGUACUCUAGGUUGGUUAAAUAUAGUCCAUCUGUUGAGAUGAUUCUGUACUCUAGGUUGGUUAAAUAUAGUCCAUCUGUUGAGAUGAUUCUGUACUCUAGGUUGGUUAAAUAUAGUCCAUCUGUUGAGAUGAUUCUGUACUCUAGGUUGGUUAAAUAUAGUCCAUCUGCUGAGAUGAUUCUGUACUCUAGGUUGGUUAAAUCUAGUCCAUCUGCUGAGAUGAUUCUGUACUCUAGGUUGGUUAAAUCUAGUCCAUCUGCUGAGAUGAUUCUGUACUCUAGGUUGGUUAAAUCUAGUCCAUCUGCUGAGAUGAUUCUGUACUCUAGGUUGGUUAAAUGUAGUCCAUCUGCUGAGAUGAUUCUGUACUCUAGGUUGGUUAAAUGAAGUUCAGACAUGAAAAUGAUUCAUCCUUGUCAAAUAAAAUGGCAUUCAAUUCAUAUUUAGUUUGCAUUUCUUUUUGUAGGUUUUUCAGUGCUUGAAAACCACUAGACCCUGACCUAUUCCCAUUAAAAGCCCAAGUCAUUAUUGCCUGGAUAGGUUCAUUCAUGGCAAACCUGUAGCUAUAGCAACAGAAUAUUCUUUUUACAAAUGGUACUGAAUCAAAGAGACGACGUUCCAUUAGUCAUUCUCUUUAAGAGAAACUGGGUGACCAAAGGUCUACCAUGACGACAAAUAAAAUAUAUUCAGUUAUGAAUAUAAGAGUCCCAGCUGAUGACAAACCCUUUUCAGGUUCUUAUUUUUGAUUGGGAACACAAUUACAAUUAGGUUCAUUUUCUGGCACAAAGAACCUCUGCUGCUGCUGCUCCUUCACUGAGACUGACAAUUCAUUUCUAAAGUCUCCUACUUGGAAAACGUUACCUGAAAAUCAUCAAUGUUUGUGUGUAUAUAUAUACAGUGGGGAGAACAAGUAGCUUUUCUUUUUGUAGGUUUACACUGACGA
ensembl:lncRNA